rnacentral:rRNA from 1 species
CAGUCGCCGCGGGAAUACGUAGGGUGCAAGCGUUAAUCGGAAUUACUGGGCGUAAAGCGUGCGCAGGCGGUUCGGAAAGAAAGAUGUGAAAUCCCAGGGCUUAACCUUGGAACUGCAUUUUUAACUCCCGGACUAGAGUAUGUCAGAGGGGGGUGGAAUUCCACGUGUAGCAGUGAAAUGCGUAGAUAUGUGGAGGAACACCGAUGGCGAAGGCAGCCCCCUGGGAUAAUACUGACGCUCAUGCACGAAAGCGUGGGGAGCAAACAGGAUUAGAUACCCCCGUAGUCCCUGUCUCUUAUAC